UGGUGGAGUGAUUUGUCUGGUUAAUUCCGAUAACGAACGAGACCUUAACCUGCUAACUAGUUGCGGGUACGCGAGUAUCCGAGACUUCUUAGAGGGACUGACUAUGUUUAAUAGUCGGAAGUUUGAGGCAAUAACA
rnacentral:rRNA from 1 species